GCGGGUUCUGGUUCUGGUUCUGGUUCUGGUGGGGGAGUGACCUCCCGGCGAGGGAGUGACCGGCCCCCGGCGGACUGACAGAGCCCCGGUGAAGGAGUGGCCCCGGGCGUGUGGGAUAAAGUCUCAAUGUGUGUAUCAAAUCAAAAGCUGGCUUUACUUUUAGAUGAUGGAUACAGAUCUAUGUUAUGGCUACUGGACAGCAGGAGAUAGAAAAGAGGAGGCCUCCAGUAGGGAACUCCCACAAGCCAGAGGCAGAGCAGCGAUUGUCCUGGAGCCGCCAGUUCCCCAACCAAAGUUCCAAGAAUGAUGUGGCAGUACGAGAGAAGAAGACUUUUGGUGUGGUGCUGGAAAAAAUGCUCCAGCAGCAACGGCAGAUGUUCCCAUCUGCAGGGCACUUAGAGCCCUCAGCAAUGGAGAAGAAGGAUGAGGAUGAAUUCCACACGUCGGAUACUCCUGGCAGGAGACUUGACCAUACCUGGUGACUCUGUGAGAGCUGCAGGACUGGAGACGGAGGAAGCCCUUUGGACAGGACUUGCUGCUCCCUCAGAGCUGCGGCUCUCAGCAGAACCGGCUCAUUGCUGAGGAUGCACCUGGCCAGGAAGAGCCUUGCAGAGGAAUAGGAGGCCAGCUCAUUGCAGUAAGGGAAUGGCUGACGGAUGUUUCCCAGCAGCAACUUUCCUGGAGGUGCCAGUUCCAGUCCGUGACUCGCAGGAUGCUGUGGCGCUGCCAUAGGAGAAGGCCUUUGGCAUGGUGCUAGAGAAGAUCCUCGAGCAGCAAAGGCAGGUGUUGGCAGCUCCAGGGAAUUCCCUGACGUCAGCAGUGGAGGAGCAGGAUGAGGAAGAUCUCCACACUUGGGAUCCUUCUGGCAAGAGCCUCCAUCCCUGCCAGAGCCUCGGUGAGAGCUGCCGGAGCGCAGACGGAGGAAGGCCUUUGGACAGGUGCAAGACAGGAGUCCCUCCUCCAUCACAGCCACGGCAAUCAUCCGAACCUGCUUGUGGCUGAGGAUGCAGAUGGCCAGGAAAGGCCUGGAAAUAUAUUUGGAGCAAGCCGUGUCCAAGAAGAUUUUCCUGGAGAAAAGCAUGCUUGCAGCAAGUGUCUUGGAGCUGCCAGUUGCCAGUCCAUGACUCCAAGGAUGCUGCGGCACUGCCAAAGGUGAAGAGUCUCAGAGAGUUGCCAAACAAGAUCCUCCAGCAGGAAAGGCAGAUGUUGGCAGCUCCAGGGAAUUCCCUGAUGUCAGCAGUGGAGGAGCAGGAUGAGGAAGAUCUCCUCACUUGGGAUCCUUCUGGCAAUAGCCUCCAUCCCUACCUGUCCUGGAUUGUAAUGUAUACUGUUACUAUCCCCAUGAGCUGUUGGAACCAGGUGGGGUUGUGUUUCCUCGUGUCUUCCCCCGGUUUAUCUUUCUGAUAAUGGCCCAUCAUUGCCCUGCCGCAUGACUCAGGGAUAACUCUCCCUGGAGUAUCUUUUGCAAUGAGCCCAUCAACACCUGGCCUCCUGACUCAUCAUCCUAUUGUGAGAUCCUCCACCUAGAGGGACCAAGUGUUCCAUCCUAGAUACAAUCUGAGAUUCUGAACAACAGAGAUAAUCUUUCCACUGGAUUUCCAGAGGACAGGAGCUACAUAGCCACCACU